ACUUAGAUGACUGGUGGAACUAUGCCCUGCAGCAGAAGUUCGAUGAUCCCCCUUCCCCUUGUCCUGCCUAGUGGUGGUGGCACUACUACUUAUCCUAGUACUGCUAGGUGGAGGAGCCAAACCACUGUUUUGCCUAAGCAAGAUGGUGUUGUGGUGUGUAUGAAGAUGUUGGUUCAUCCCAGAGUUAGUAAGAUGACCCAACACCUUCCCACAGCCGACUCCCCU